rnacentral:SRP_RNA from 1 species
GCCGGGUAUGGUGGCAUGUGCCUGUAGUCCCAGCUACUCGGGAGGCUGAGGUGGGAGGAUCGCUUGAGCCCAGGAGUUCUGGGCUGUAGUGUGCUACGCCGAUCGGGUGUCUGCACUAAGUUUGGCAUCAAUAUGGUGACCUCCCGGGAGCAGGGGACCACCAGGUUGCCUAAUGAGGGGUGAACCGGCCAAGGUCGGAAAAGGAACAGGUCAGAACUCCCAUGCUGAUCAGUAGUGGGAUCAUGCCUGUGAAAAGCCAUUGCACGCCAGCCUGGGCGACAUAGUGAGACCCUGUUUCU